rnacentral:rRNA from 1 species
GAUGAACGCUGGCGGCGUGCCUAAUACAUGCAAGUCGAGCGAACAGAUACGGAGCUUGCUCCUUUGACGUUAGCGGCGGACGGGUGAGUUACACGUGGAUAACCUACCUAUAAGACUGGGAUAACUUCGGGAAACCGGAGCUAAUACCGGAUAACAUAUUGAACCGCAUGGUUCAAUAGUGAAAGGCGGCUUUGCUGUCACUUAUAGAUGGAUCCGCGCCGUAUUAGCUAGUUGGUAAGGUAACGGCUUACCAAGGCAACGAUACGUAGCCGACCUGAGAGGGUGAUCGGCCACACUGGAACUGAGACACGGUCCAGACUCCUACGGGAGGCAGCAGUAGGGAAUCUUCCGCAAUGGGCGAAAGCCUGACGGAGCAACGCCGCGUGAGUGAUGAAGGUCUUCGGAUCGUAAAACUCUGUUAUCAGGGAAGAACAAAUGUGUAAGUAACUGUGCACAUCUUGACGGUACCUGAUCAGAAAGCCACGGCUAACUACGUG